rnacentral:pre_miRNA from 1 species
ACGUCUUAAUUGAUGGAGAUAGGUAUCUGCAGGAUUUGAGAAAGAUAUCUAUAUAGGACAUGUGAAUAUAAUAAAAUUACAGGAGCACCCCGAGAUUCUACCUACCAACCAAGGCGCUUUUAAGCAUCGGUUGGUGGUUUGAGUCGUCCGGCAUUCAGAUAACUCCAUUAUUAUUCUUACGCCUUAUAUAGACACCUUCUCCGAGUUUUGCAGAUACUUAUCUACACCAGUCAAGACAU